rnacentral:rRNA from 1 species
CCUACGGGUGGCAGCAGUGGGGAAUAUUGCACAAUGGGGGAAACCCUGAUGCAGCGACGCCGCGUGAGUGAAGAAGUAUUUCGGUAUGUAAAGCUCUAUCAGUCGGGAAGAGAAUGACGGUACUUGAGUAAGAAGCACCGGCUAACUCCGUGCCAGCAGCCGCGGUAAUACGGAGGGUGCAAGCGUUAUCCGGAUUUACUGGGUGUAAAGGUAGCGUAGACGGCGAAGAAAGUCUGAAGUGAAAGCCCGCGGCUCAACCGCGGAACUGCUUUUGAAACUUUUUUGCUGGAGUACCGGAGAGGGAAGCGGAAUUCCUAGUGUAGCGGUGAAAUGCGUAGAUAUGUGGAGGAACACCAGUGGCGAAGGCGGCUUACUGGACAAUAACUGACGUUGAGGCUCGAAAGCGUGGGGAGCAAACAGGAUUAGAUACCCUAGUAGUC